GUCAGUGUGCUCAGCAGUUAGAGCAUUGGCCUGCACACCCAAAGGUCAUGGGUUCGAUUCCCUUCAAGGGCA
rfam:Myotis brandtii contig187185, whole genome shotgun sequence.